GAUGAACGCUGGCGGCGUGCUUAACACAUGCAAGUCGAACGAUGAAGCCCAGCUUGCUGGGUGGAUUAGUGGCGAACGGGUGAGUAACACGUGAGUAACCUGCCCUUGACUCUGGGAUAAGCCUGGGUAACUGGGUCUAAUACUGGAUAUGACUUCUCAUCGCAUGGUGGGGGGUGGAAAGAUUUAUUGGUCUUGGAUGGACUCGCGGCCUAUCAGCUUGUUGGUGAGGUAAUGGCUCACCAAGGCGACGACGGGUAGCCGGCCUGAGAGGGUGACCGGCCACACUGGGACUGAGACACGGCCCAGACUCCUACGGGAGGCAGCAGUGGGGAAUAUUGCACAAUGGGCGCAAGCCUGAUGCAGCGACGCCGCGUGAGGGAUGACGGCCUUCGGGUUGUAAACCUCUUUCAGUAGGGAAGAAGCGAGAGUGACGGUACCUGCAGAAGAAGCGCCGGCUAACUACGUG
rnacentral:rRNA from 1 species